GACGAACGCUGGCGGCGUGCUUAACACAUGCAAGUCUUACGAGAAAAGGGUAGCAAUAUCCUGAGUAAAGUGGCGCACGGGUGAGUAACACGUAGGCAAUCUGUCUUUAGGACGGGGACAACCCCGAGAAAUCGGAGCUAAUACCCGAUAAAGCAACUGCACCGCAUGGUGAUGGUUGUUAAAGGCCCGCAAGGGCGCCUAUUGAUGAGCCUGCGUCCCAUUAGGUAGUUGGNGAGGUAACGGCCCACCAAGCCUACGAUGGGUAGCUGGUCUGAGAGGAUGAUCAGCCACACUGGAACUGAGACACGGUCCAGACUCCUACGGGAGGCAGCAGUGAGGAAUAUUGCGCAAUGGCCGAAAGGCUGACGCAGCGACGCCGCGUGAAGGAUGAAAUCCGUUAGGAUGUAAACUUCUUUU
rnacentral:rRNA from 1 species